CGGACGGGUGAGUAACACGUGGAUAACCUACCUAUAAGACUGGGAUAACUUCGGGAAACCGGAGCUAAUACCGGAUAAUAUUUUGAACCGCAUGGUUCAAAAGUGAAAGACGGUCUUGCUGUCACUUGUAGAUGGAUCCGCGCUGCAUUAGCUAGUUGGUAAGGUAACGGCUUACCAAGGCAACGAUGCAUAGCCGACCUGAGAGGGUGAUCGGCCACACUGGAACUGAGACACGGUCCAG
rnacentral:rRNA from 1 species